GCCCUUGUUGUCAAUAUCGAGUAGUGAAGAGGAAAUUACGGCCAGACCUCCUUCAAAAGUCCGUAAAAAGUAUUUUAAACAAUGCUACAUGCAUCUCACGUCCAUAAAGAAAGAAGAAACAAAAGGACUUUACACGAACACGGUGGGAUACAUUCAGAAACUGCGUCAAACGGUGGCUUGGUUUGCAAGGUGAGAAUCAGAGAAUAGCAGAAACAUACAAACAUUGUCUAGAAAUCGAGUUUGACAAUGUUCCCGAAAACGCUGGGUUUCACUCCACUCGCUACAGGCGUUUCAUUGACAAAAAGCGCUUGGAUGCGGCCGAGAAACGGGCCACACAGCGUCCUGAAGUUCAAGAUCAAGGCCAGCAUGUGCCAUCGGGUAGUAACGUUAGUAUCACUACAGUUGAAUGUCCAACAAAGAAACUUAGGUCCAGGACCGGCCUGCCAGUAGCUUGUGCUGGUCCUGUGCUUCCUGCCUUGUGCAUAAUUUGUAAGAAAACGAACAAGUACAUUACUGUGGGAGGCAAACGCCCUUUCACAGGCAGAAACGUUGUCAGCAGGCCAGUUGCUGAAAGCUUCUGAGAUGAAGGAAGACACUAGCAUUCUUGUGCAUAUUCGACACAAAGACUGUGUCUCUGGAGGUGCGAUACCACAAGUCCUGUUAUAGACAGUACACCAGGUUCUUGACAAAGUCUAGUGCAUCAGUUACUGGGACCUCAGAAGAACAAAAUGAGCCAACCUUUGAUGCCAGCUACAAGAUCUUCUGUGAGAGGAUCAUCCGCCAUAGAAUAAUUGUAAACCAAGAGGUGUUGACAAUGACUCAGCUAAGAAGGAUCUUUUUAAAUCUGGUGAAAAAACAUGAAGAUCUUGAUGCUUCAAACUACAGGCAGGAUAAAUUGAAGAGGAGGUUGACCCGUGAUUUCCCCCAGCUGUUGUUUCACUCCCCCAAGAAGCGCAACAUAAAUGAGAUGGUUUUCGUUGAGACAUUGUCUGCAGAUAAGCUGAUAGACAGGCUACCUCAUCCAUCAGGUACAGAAACAACAGAGUCAACUGAGGUAACUAGCCAAAGUGACUGUGAAAACAGGGCUAGUGCAAAAGCUGGUCCACAAAGACCAACUUCAAUGGCCUCCAUCAAUACUGCAGAGGACACAAGGACACUUUACAGUGUGGCAUUAAUAUUAAAGAUGCUUCUGUGUGACUCUCCCAGUAUGAAAUGCCUGUGGCCACCCACAUCAGAUGACUUAUAUGUGAGCGAGGCAAAAUCUGUCGUGCCAGUUGAACUGUACAAUCUGAUUUCCUGGAUUAUUGGUGCAACUGAGGAACCAACACUGGCCCAUUAUGUUGAUAUUCCAGAUGAUUUGAACCUAAAAGUGAUAUCUAUCUGUCAAGACAUUGUGUAUCUUGCAUCUAAGGGCCGGAGGCAGACCCCUAAAUCAUUGUGUCUUUGUCUAAUGGUUCACUAUUUAACAGGUUCAUCACAAAUUGUGUCACUUCUAAAUAGACUAGGACAUUGUGCAUCAUGGGACACAGUUGUCAGUCAAGACACUAGCCUUGCCCAACUUCAACUAGUAGAGGGCAGAGACAAAAUACCAAAUGGAUUCUCAAAGAAGGUUCCUACAGUACUUGUGUGGGACAAUAUUGACUUUUGAUACAAUUGUCAGGUCGAGGAACUACCCACCACACAAAUGGGAUUAUGCUGCAAAGUUCUGUAGUUGAACCUGUGUCAACAACAAACAGACAACCUCUACAGUAGGGCGUUUCCUCAUUGAAAGCACCCCCUAGCAUCCCUGUAGAACAGUACCAUCAGUCUAAAAGACAAGGACCACAGAACUUGUUUCAUCAGGAAAGUGUUCAUUACAGGCAAACACAUACAAAUUGAACACUGUGUCUGCUGUACAAACUGAACUGGCAUAUGUUUUUGUAAAGUCCAUAGAUGCUGAAAGAUGCACAAUACCAAGCUGGACAGGUUUCCAUACAUUCUCUGAAAGGUAUAAUGUGUGCCCCUUCACCCGUUGGCAAUGGAUGGCACCUCGAGGAUGGCGAGUUAACAGUGACCUGGAUGACUAGAAAUCCUGCCCCUGAAAGUGUGUUGCAGGCAGUCCACUGCAGUUGGAGUAAAAUGUGAGACUGGAAGAUGUUCCUGUAUGUCUGCAAGACUGUCUUGUACUGAUUUAUGUCAGUGCCAAAAUUGUGCAAAUGUUUCACAGGAAACAGAAGAAAGACCUACAUGGGAUGAUGGCUCUGAUAGUGAUAGGGAUGAUACUGUAAAUAUGCGCUGUGUUAUAAUUUAAGGUGAUUUUGAGCUGUAAAGAAUCUGUUGUAGAAUUGUAAUCUUUUUUUGGCAGCAUUCAAAAAUAAGGGGAUAGUGUAGCAUUGCGUCAUUUCAGCCAACUUGGGCCAAAGUGUGCUUAUAUUUGUAUUUUUCUGUGAUUACACAGUACCUACUGAAAAUGUUUGUAUAAAACAUCACAGUUUUGCUAAAUUUAUAAUGUUUAUGUUUAAUUUUGCAUAGUGCCAAUCCAUGAAGUUGAAGCAUAUUUUCUACAAAUGUGCCAUAUUUCAUGGUCUACAUUCACACUUGAGUAUAUAAUGCACCAAAACCUGUCUCAGGUGUUUAGGCACAUGUAUAAAUGUCAGUUUGAGAGAUAGCUUGUGUUGAUGAUGAUUCAUCGACUUUAUAGACAUAACAGUUUUAUCGUCUGUUAAUGCUGAUCUUCUGUAAAGCUGCUUUGAAACUAUGUGUGUUGUGAAAGGCGCUAUACAAAUAAACUUGACUUGACUGACUUGCUAAAAUGUACACUCACCUAAAGGAUUAUUAGAAACACCAUACUAAUACUGUAUUUGACCCCCUUUCGCCUUCAGAACUGCCUUAAUUCUACUUGGCAUUGAUUCAACAAGGUGCUGAAAGCAUUCUUUAGAAAUGUUGGCCCAUAUUGAUAGGAUAGCAUCUUGCAGUUGAUGGAGAUUUGUGGGAUGCACAUCCAGGACACGAAGCUCCCGUUCCACCACAUCCCAAAGAUGCUCUAUUGGGUUGAGAUCUGGUGACUGUGGGGGCCAUUUUAGUACAGUGAACUCAUUGUCAUGUUCAAGAAACCAAUUUGAAAUGAUUCGAGCUUUGUGACAUGGUGCAUUAUCCUGCUGGAAGUAGCCAUCAGAGGAUGGGUACCCGGUGGGGUCUUCUGCUGUUGUAGCCCAUCCGCCUCAAGGUUGUGCGUGUUGUGGCUUCACAAAUGCUUUGCUGCAUACCUCGGUUGUAACGAGUGGUUAUUUCAGGCAAAGUUGCUCUUCUAUCAGCUUGAAUCAGUCGGCCCACUCUCCUCUGACCUCUAGCAUCAACAAGGCAUUUUCGCCCACAGGACUGCCGCAUACUGGAUGUUUUUCCAUUUUCACACCAUUCUUUGUAAACCCUAGAAAUGGUUGUGCGUGAAAAUCCCAGUAACUGAGCAGAUUGUGAAAUACUCAGACCGGCCCGUCUGGCACCAACAACCAUGCCACGCUCAAAAUUGCUUAAAUCACCUUUCUUUCCCAUUCUGACAUUCAGUUUGGAGUUCAGGAGAUUGUCUUGACCAGGACCACACCCCUAAAUGCAUUGAAGCAACUGCCAUGUUAUUGGUUGAUUAGAUAAUUGCAUUAAUGAGAAAUUGAACAGGUGUUCCUAAUAAUCCUUUAGGUGAGUGUAUAUAAAGUAAGUUACAAACAAAACCAGCAGCAUAAGAUUUUCAUUUUUUCCAAUUCACAAUUAUAUCCAUUUAUGGAUUGUGACAAAAAACUGCAGGGUAUUUUGCUGAGAACUUUUAACAAAGUCAAUAAUGGUUUUGUCUAUGCAAAAAUUCAUUUAAAAAGUAGUGCCCAGGUGUGGGAAUGAAAAUCAUUUUCUAGCCACUUUUUCCUAGUUCACAUUAUGGCCUAUAAUUGGAGAAGUUACACCCCAAUAUAUCGCAUUUGCACUCGGUAUGGACAAAAGUGUCCAGUGUUUAAUUCUGACAUUUAUCUAAAUGUUGCAUCGAGCAUAUGGCUGAACCCAAAAUUAUGUAUAAAUAAGUCUCCUUUCUGCUUGUCAGAGUGGAAUGUGAGGGAGGUUAAUACGCUUGGGAGCUAUAUGAGGUUCAGCAAUACCUAAGAACAAUUUCCAAUUUGAGUAACAAGAAAGCUGUAAAGUGUAUUGAAAUAUGUAAACAAUUUGAUAUUUUUAUUAAACUGUUUAUUUAUUUAUUUAUUUUCCUUUUUGUU